CCUACUUAACUCAGUGGUUAGAGUAUUGCUU
rnacentral:tRNA from 1 species